GAUAAUUCUUGAUAGUCUCUCAAGCAGUUUUGGCUGAAGAAACAUGAAAACGGAAGGGUGAAAGGAUGACAAGCAUAUUACUAUCGAAGGCACUCGUGAAUCUAAAUGUAACUCUGAAGUGAAACUGGAGUUGGAAAGUUAAGAAAAAGGAAGUUAAAAGAUUUUUAAAAGUGGACAAUUCCUAGGCAAUUCCCAUUGUAAUGGGAAUUGAGAAGUAAAUGGAAUCAGAAGCUAUAUCUUUGAGGAAAAGAAAUACUGGGUGAUUAAUGGAAUAAGA